UUUUUUUUUUUUUUUAAAUCCAAAAGGCUCAAUCCAAUAUGUUGCUCUGUCAAACCCAUAACGCAUAAUUUGGGCGUGGGUUCCUUAAAGAUCAUAUUCAAUCGAAAAAUUUGAGGGUAAUGGGCCCUAAUUGAGGUUGAGGAUGGAAAAUUGCGUAAGAGCAAGCCCAUGGAAGGAACAGGCAAGAACCAAGCUAUUUUGCUGAUCAUUGAGUCGUUGUGACCGACUUCCAGUAAAACCCGUCCCAGAAGCGAAGUGCCCUUCCAUUGACUGCAAACAAACCAUUCAAAACCCUGCUCAACUUGCACUUCACUCUUAAAGACUUGCUUUCUCUACAAACCUACAUUUUCGCAAAUAUCACGACAUGCUCUCUACGUGUUGCUGGAAAUUAUAACAAGUUGACCUUUUACUCAGAAUAUGAUGGGAUCUUUUAAGUGUUUGAUUUUAUACAUCCACCGCCUAUGACAGCAUAUCCACCAUCGGAAGCUCAUCCAGUACACCCAAGAUCACCAAGUUGCACCACACCAAUUAGUUAUCCCACCAAGGAUGGUCCAGGAUACCUGCAACAAGAUACCCUUGUAGAGGGUGGUGAUGGCUUUCGGAAAAGCUUAACUCCAAAUAUAAAAUAAUACAUAUUAACUUUCAAUUAAAUAUUAAAUUGUAUUUGCUGACUUGCGUUGCAGCAUGUCUUCGAUGUGUGUUCUCUUUCUGAUACCUCAAGCAAGAUGAAUUUUCCAGUGACCUUAUCAAAUUCCAAAGUUAACAUAGAGCCCGUUUCACAUUGAGUUUCAAAACAUUAUAUGAAUUUCCAGCAAUUAAUCUAAAUUAACAAGUUUUUCAAUUAACAAAAUCUCUUUAAAUUCAAAGACACACUGUAAAUUAAAUCAUUUCAAAACCUAAGCUUGGCUCCUCAAACCUCUUCUUGAUUACUUCGGCAGCCGUAACCUUCAUGUCCUUGGUCACUAGCGCUUCAGGACUCACCACAUCCUUCAAA
rnacentral:misc_RNA from 1 species